rnacentral:rRNA from 1 species
CCCGCUGAACUUAAGCAUAUCAAUAAGCGGAGGAAAAGAAACCAACGGGGAUUGCCUCAGUAACGGCGAGUGAAGCGGCAACAGCUCAAAUUUGAAAUCUGGCUCCUUUGGGGUCCGAGUUGUAAUCUGUAGAGGAUGCUUCGGGUAGGGGCACUGGCCUAAGUUCCUUGGAACAGGACGUCACAGAGGGUGAGAAUCCCGUACGUGGCUGGAGGUCCACUACCUUGUGAAGCACCUUCGACGAGUCGAGUUGUUUGGGAAUGCAGCUCAAAAUGGGUGGUAAAUUUCAUCUAAAGCUAAAUACCGGCGGGAGACCGAUAGCGCACAAGUAGAGUGAUCGAAAGAUGAAAAGCACUUUGGAAAGAGAGUUAAAAAGUACGUGAAAUUGUUGAAAGGGAAGCGCUUGCGACCAGACUUGCCCCCCGUCGGUCAGCCGGUGGUCUCUCUCCACCGGUGUACUCGACUCGGGUCAGGCCAGCAUCGGUUUGGGCGGCUGGAGAAAGGCCAUGGGAAUGUGGCUCUCUUCGGGGAGUGUUAUAGCCCGUGGUGUCAUGCGGCCAGUCUGGACCGAGGACCGCGCCUCGUGCUAGGAUGCUGGCGUAAUGGUUGUAAGCGACCCGUCUUGAAACACGG